rnacentral:rRNA from 1 species
AUUGAACGCUGGCGGCAUGCCUUACACAUGCAAGUCGAACGGUAACGGGCCUUCGGGUGCCGACGCGUGGCGAACGGGCGAGUAAUACAUCGGAACGUGCCCGAUCGUGGGGGGUAACGAGGCGAAAGCUUUGCUAAUACCGCAUACGAUCUACGGAUGAAAGCCGGGGACCGCAAGGCCUUGCGCGGACGGAGCGGCCGAUGGCAGAUUAGGUAGAUGGUGGGAUAAAAGCUUACCAAGCCGAGGAUCUGUAGCUGGUCUGAGAGGAUGAUCAGCCACACUGGGAGUGAAACACGGCCCAGACUCCUACGGGAGGCAGCAGUGGGGAAUUUUGGACAGUGGGCGCAAGCCUGAUCCAGCCAUGCCGCGUGCAGGAUGAAGGCCUUCGGGUUGUGAACUGCUUUUGUACGGAACGAAAAGCCUUCUUUUAAUACAGGAGGGUCAUGACGGUACCGUAAGAAUAAGCACCGGCUAACUACGUG